AUUGAACGCUGGCGGCAGGCCUAACAUAUGCAAGUCGAGCGGAUGAAGGGAGCUUGCUCCUGGAUUCAGCGGCGGACGGGUGAGUAAUGCCUAGGAAUCUGCCUGGUAGUGGGGGAUAACGUCCGGAAACGGGCGCUAAUACCGCAUACGUCCUGAGGGAGAAAGUGGGGGAUCUUCGGACCUCACGCUAUCAGAUGAGCCUAGGUCGGAUUAGCUAGUUGGUGGGGUAAAGGCCUACCAAGGCGACGAUCCGUAACUGGUCUGAGAGGAUGAUCAGCCACACUGGAACUGAGACACGGUCCAGACUCCUACGGGAGGCAGCAGUGGGGAAUAUUGGACAAUGGGCGAAAGCCUGAUCCAGCCAUGCCGCGUGUGUGAAGAAGGUCUUCGGAUUGUAAAGCACUUUAAGUUGGGAGGAAGGGCAGUAAGUUAAUACCUUGCUGUUUUGACGUUACCAACAGAAUAAGCACCGGCUAACUUCGUG
rnacentral:rRNA from 1 species